CCCUCGUGAACGCUCCCUAUGCGACCCCAGGUCAGGCGGGAUUACCCGCUGAAUUUAA
rnacentral:rRNA from 1 species